rnacentral:rRNA from 1 species
UCUUCGGCAAUGGGCGCAAGCCUGACCGAGCGACGCCGCGUGCGGGAUGAAGGCCUUCGGGUUGUAAACCGCUGUCGUAGAGGAGGAAAUGCAGGGGGGUUCUCCCUUCUGUUUGACCUAUUCUAGGAGGAAGUACGGGCUAAGUUCGUGCCAGCAGCCGCGGUAAGACGAACCGUACAAACGUUACUCGGAAUUACUGGGCUUAAAGGGUGCGUAGGCUGCGCGGAAAGUUGGGUGUGAAAGCCCUCGGCUCAACCGAGGAAUUGCACUCAAAACUGCCGUGCUUGAGGGAGACAGAGGUAAGCGGAACUCAAGGUGGAGCGGUGAAAUGCGUUGAUAUCUUGAGGAACACCGGUGGCGAAGGCGGCUUACUGGGUCUUUUCUGACGCUGAGGCACGAAAGCUAAGGUAGCAAACGGGAUUAGAUACCCCGGUAGUCUUAGCUGUAAACGAUGAGCACUUGAUUGGAGGGUCCUCCAUAGCCUUCCAGUCGUAGCGAAAGUGUUAAGUGCUCCGCCUGGGGA